rnacentral:tRNA from 1 species
GAGGGAUUCGAACCCUCGGUAAACAAAAGCUUACAUAGCAUUUCCAAUGCUACGCCUUC